rnacentral:rRNA from 1 species
AUUGAACGCUGGCGGCAGGCCUAACACAUGCAAGUCGAACGGUAACAGGAAGAAGCUUGCUUCUUUGCUGACGAGUGGCGGACGGGUGAGUAAUGUCUGGGAAACUGCCUGAUGGAGGGAGAUAACUACUGGAAACGGUAGCUAAUACCGCAUAACGUCGCAAGACCAAAAAGGGGGACCUUCGGGCCUCUUGCCAUCGGAUGUGCCCAGAUGGGAUUAGCUAGUAGGUGGGGUAACGGCUCACCUAGGCGACGAUCCCUAGCUGGUCUGAGAGGAUGACCAGCCACACUGGAACUGAGACACGGUCCAGACUCCUACGGGAGGCAGCAGUGGGGAAUAUUGCACAAUGGGCGCAAGCCUGAUGCAGCCAUGCCGCGUGUAUGAAGAAGGCCUUCGGGUUGUAAAGUACUUUCAGCGGGGAGGAAGGGAGUAAAGUUAAUACCUUUGCUCAUUGACGUUACCCGCAGAAGAAGCACCGGCUAACUCCGUG